rfam:Oryza punctata chromosome 1, whole genome shotgun sequence.
AAUAAGUGCAGUUUUGCACUGUUCACAUCCAAUGUUUGAUCAUCAUUCUUAUUUAAAAAAUAUGAUUAGUAUUUUUUGUUGUUAUUAGAUGAUAAAACAUGAAUAGUACUUUAUGUGUGACUAUUUUUUUUAAUUUUUUCAUAAAUUUUUUAAAUAAAACAGACAGUCAAAUAUUGGAUACGGAUCCACGACUACGCUUAUU